GAAAAGAAAAGAAAAAUCAAUUGCCAGUGCCACAUCAACUCUCACGUCUGAACUGCUGCAAAUCCAAAGGAGCGGAGGAAGAAGGUGGGGAAAAAAAAUGGCAGCUUUGCUCCGCCCCGCCGCCGGGGUCGCCGUCCUCCUCCUCGUCCUCGCGGCGGCCGUCUCCACCGACGGCGCCACGAGCUUCUACGCGUCGGACCCAAACCUCGGAUCCGCCCGCGUCGUUUUCCAGACAACUCAUGGCGACAUUGAGUUUGGAUUCUUUCCUCAUGUUGCUCCUAAGACAGUUGAACACAUUUACAAACUUGUGAGGCUUGGGUGCUACAAUACAAAUCACUUUUUCCGGGUUGACAAGGGUUUUGUUGCACAAGUUGCUGCUGUUGUGGGUGGUAGAACUGCUCCCAUGAAUGACGAGCAGCAAAAGGAAGCAGAGAAAACAGUUGUUGGUGAAUUUAGUACUGUCAAGCAUGUCAGGGGAAUUCUGUCCAUGGGAAGGCACUCAGAUCCAGACAGUGGUUCCUCUUCCUUUUCUAUCCUUCUUGGAGAUUCCCCACACCUUGAUGGACAGUAUGCUGUAUUUGGAAGGCUCACAAAAGGUGAUGACACAUUAAGAAAACUUGAGCAACUUCCGACUCGUCGAGAAGGCAUAUUUGUAAUGCCUAUUGAACGUAUCGGCAUUCUGUCAACAUACUAUUAUGAUGUUGAUUUAGAGAGCUGUGAAGCAGAAAAGUCCAUCCUUAGAAGGAGACUUUCUGAAUCAGCAUCAGAAGUUGAGAGAUGGAGAAGAAAGUGCUUCGCAUGAUACUGGAGUUAUGUUAGGUCUUCAAAACAAAAGAUCUUCAUCAAUAAUCCUAUCAGAGAGCAGGUUCCUUCUCCCUGACUUGAUCACUGAGGUCCAAAUGUUGAAAGUUUAGCAAUGGGCGAGGGAACCUCUGGAACAGAAUUUGUAUGUCGCCUGCAUUUAUCAUAUCAAAAUGCUGUAACAGUUCAAUAGAAAUGUGAAUAGUUUUCUUUCUUUUAUUCUUUUAUCAAUCUUGCCAGCACACUUGGACAUGUACACAACUACACAUCAUGCUGAAUUUGACUUUGUGUUCUUACGAACAAUACAUUGUACUGGUAUCUUAUUUACGAAAAUACUGUACUGUUACCUGCAUUUCUGCACUAGCUUCUAAAUUUUCAUCA